rnacentral:ncRNA from 1 species
UUUUUCGAGAGUUCGAUCCUGGCUCAGGAUGAACGCUGGCGGCGUGCCUAACACAUGCAAGUCGAGCGGACCUUAGAGAGUGAACAGCUUG